rnacentral:rRNA from 1 species
UACGUAGGGGGCGAGCGUUGUCCGGAUUUAUUGGGCGUAAAGAGCGUGUAGGCGGUUCGGUAAGUCUGUCGUGAAAUCCUGAGGCUCAACCUCGGACGUGCGAUGGAUACUGCCGGGCUAGAGGAUGGUAGAGGCGAGUGGAAUUCCCGGUGUAGCGGUGAAAUGCGCAGAUAUCAGGAAGAACACCAAUGGCGAAGGCAGCUCUCUGGGACGGUACUGACGCUGAGACGCGAAAGCGUGGGGAGCGAACAGG